CUGGGCUUCCCCUGCCCUAACCUAAGCCCAGCUGGGCUUCAUUCAGCACGCUGUGUACCACUCUUGAUGGGUAGGCCCACUCUGCCCGCACCUUGAAACCUGACCAGGUCUUCUCCCACCCCAUGAAUGUAAACAUUUUAACAACUAGCCUGACUGUGAAAAGCCUGGAGAAUCCUUCCUACAGGGGACAGUGGACCUCCAGAGGGGCAGACGUGUCCUGAGCUCAGCCAAUCUGAUGAUCUCCUGGGACACCGACCCCUGAGGAAGUGACUCAAGAUGGACAGGAAUUGGGCAAAGUCAUUCAGGGAGUUGCCGAACAAGCCAGUGAGCAUGAGGCCAUGGCUGCAGGACGGCUCCCCACACUUCCUCAUCUUGGGAGGACCUCUCCCUUCUCCAUAGCCUUCCCUCCAACCUCCUUCUCCUACUUCAGCCAGAGGAGCUUUCUGUAUCUGCAUCAAGAGCCUCACAGACCCCCGGCUCCUCAUUUUCCAUUUCUGUGCCAUUUCUGCACCUUAGCACGAGCGUUUCUGAGGUGCGAGGCCAUGUCAGGGACACGCGGGCCCUGCAACACCAUCAACACGUGGUUCUCGGCACCUGGUGUUGCCUUCGGAGGCACAGAGGACGUUCUAGAAACACGAGGGUGCAAAGAGAAGCUGGACAGGCGCCCACACCUGGCUGGCACGCACACCUGUGUGCACCGAGGGGGAACUGACGAGCACCUGAAUUGCCGAGCCAGGCUGCAGCUAAUAAAACAGAGAAAGUAAGUGCAUCGGGCACUCCAGACCAAAGCCAUUUGCAGAAUGGAGUCACAGGCUGACAUCCAAGACUUUAGCCAGCUGGCUUCAGGCAGCAGAUGCAAAGGAGAGGUCAUGAGCAGGCCAGGCCCUGGCUAGGCAGGGGAUGCACUGGCUUCCCAGGCAUCCUGGGCACCCCCUCCAGGUGGCAUAGGGGCUCCCCAGCACUGAAGGGUGUUCAGCAGCCUGCAAACCAACUGACUCACAGAGCCCAGAUAGUGACGCCAAGACCAGCCGCUCCGGGGCCAACAUCAGAGCUGGAGAGCUGAGCCAGUGGCACGCCAGUCACUGAGGAAGGCCUCUUGUUGAUAAAGACAGGGCAUGAAUUCUUGGGGGGCUGUUACGUACCUUCCCAAAGGGAGAAAGAAACCCCUUGUUCAGUCACCGCACAGCUGUCUCUGGAGACAGGAGCACAAAGCUGCCUUCUGCCCAGGGCACUGCUUCCUUGGCAAGUGACCAGCAGCUGGGACCGCACGUGCCAAAGGCAGCAGCUGCCAUGUUUGACAAACUGGAACGGAGCUAUGUCCAAAUUAAAUCCCCCCAACCAGCCUCUGCCAUACUCCCUUUGGGGACAGGGGUGGUCGGUCGUUACGCUUGCAAAAUUCCAACAGCACCUAGAGUCCCAGGAAAUGGGGCUGCUGGCCAAUAGAGGUGGGACCCAGGGUGACAGGCCACAUGCUCCUUAGAGAGCCAACAGUGUUUCCUGAAUUCCAUGGGAGUUUGCCGAGGGGACAUGGAAGCUAGGAUUCCGGAACACCCGCUGGGAGCCUAGUCCUGGGCUAGGGGCUGCAUUUAUCAUUUCAUCCUCACAACUACUGUUGCAGUUUCGCCUAACAGAGAAGGAGACAAAACUAACCCGGUGGCCACGUGGCCGAAGGCACAGAGCCGUUGAGUGGCAGCGUGGCAUUUGAAUUCAGGCCGGUGAUGCUGAAGUCCCCAGGUCUUUUUUUUUUUGAUGCCCACAACAAUGUAACUACUAAUAGCCUGUUAUUGAUGCAGGCCUUACCAAUAACAUAAAUAGUUGAUGAACACAUAUUUUGCAUAUGUGUUAUAUACUGUAUUCUUAUCAUAAACGAGCCAAAGAGAAGGAGAUGUUAUUAAGAAAACGGUAAGAAAGAGAAAAUAUAUUUAGCAUUCAUUUAGCAGAAGGGGAUCACCAUAAAGGUCUUCAUCCCUGUUAUCUUCACCUUGAAGAGGCUGAGAAGGAGGAGAAGGAGGGGGUGGUCUUGCUGUCUUAGGGAUGGUGGAGGUAGAAGAGGCAAAGAAGGUGGAAGGGAAGGCAGCCACGCUCGGUGUAAGCUUUAUUGGAAAAAAUCUGCAUUUAUGUGGACUCUCACCAGGCAAACCCGUAUGGUGCUCGAGGGCCAACUGUAUUUCCACUACCGUCAUCCGCCUUGCCCAGGGUGACCUGAUUCACUGACGGGAGGGUUUGCCUUCCCAUGCGCAUCAGUUCAGCCUUCCCCUGAUGUCAUUCUUUUCCUAGUGGCUAACAGGCUGGAUGUGCAGUUGGGGACAGUCAGUAUCUGGGGUCUGGUGAGGACCCUCUUCCUGGUUUGCAAAGCAGGAAGAUGCCAGGCAUCUCUUUCUGUCCUGCUCAGUCAAGUGUGAAUCACAAAGCCUGAGUUCAGAUCCUCGACCUUGGGCAGGUGAACUUCACUCUUAUGAGUCUCAAUUUCUGUACCCAC
rnacentral:lncRNA from 1 species